AAAAGAUAGCUCUUGAUACUGGUUGUCGAAAAAGUCUUAUCGAUUAAAUAGAUGGUUGCAAUGGUUUCUGAGAUAUAGUGUUUUAAGCGCUGGUAGUCUCAAAUUUGAAUAAUUUGGGUUUUUUUGGGGUAUUUCUUUGGGGUUAGAAAUGUUGACUACCGUUUAAUAAAAAAAAGCAGUUCUUGAGAAGGGCUAGCGCAAACUUCUUAAAAGCGGAUUGGCCAAUUUUAUCCGUUUCUGAGAUACAGGGUGUUUAAGCUUCAGAACCUCCAUUUUUUUGGUUUAGCUUAUAUUUCUUUAGAGGUUAUGCUUUUUUAAUAAAACCCAAAUGGGAAGGACAGUUUUUCAGACGAGCUGUCAAAAGGGUCUUAUGGAUUGAAUAAAAUUUGCAAUAAUUUCUGAGAUAUAGAGAGUUUUAAGCGCUGGUAGUCUUAAAUUUAAAUAUUUUGCUUGCAAUUUCUUUGGGGUUAGGAAUUUCGAAUACUAUCUAAUAUAUACAGCCCUGGGGAAGGGCUAUCCCAAGCCUCCCAAAACUGAUUUGCCAAUUUCAACCGUUUCUCAGAUACAGGGUGUUUAAACUUGAAAGCCUCAAAAAUGUUUUGGUUUAGCUUGUAUCGCUUUAGCGGUUAUGAUUUUUUUUAUUAAACCCAAAUGGGAAAGACAGUUCUUAAGACCCAGGUCUUAUGGAUUGAAUCGAAAUUUGCAGUAGUUUCUGAGAUAUCGAGUGUUUGAAGCGCUGGUAGUCUCAAAUUUUAAUAUUUUGGCUUCUAUUUCUUUGGGGUUAGGAAUUUCGAAUACUAUCUAAUACGAAAAAUACAGUUCUGGAGAAGGGCUAUCGCAAGCCUCCCAAAAACUGAUUGGCCAAUUUUAACCGUUUCUGAGAUACAGGGUGUUUAAACUUCAGUGCCUCAAAAAUGUUUUGGUUUUUCUUGUAUCGCUUUAGAGGUUAAGAUUUUUAUAUAAAACCCAAAUGGAAAAGACAGUUCUUAAGAUGGGCUGUCAAAAGGGUCUUAUGGACUGAAUAGAAAUUUGCAAUAGUUUCUGAGAUAUAGAGUGUUUUAAGCGCUGAUUGUCUCAAAUUUGUAUAUUUUGGCUGCUAUUUCUUUGGGGUUAGGAAUUUCGAAUACUAUCUAAUAUGAAAAAUACAGCUCUGGAGAACGGCUAUCGCAAGCCUCCCAAAAACUGAUUGGCCAAUUUCAACCGUUUCUGAGAUACAGGGUGUUUAAACUGCAGAGCCUCAACAAUGUUUUAAUUUAGCUUAAAUUUCGGGUUUUUGAGGCUAAAAUUUGACUGACAAAAUAUAGUUUUUUAAACGCUCUGAAAAAACAGAUAUGUAGUUGAAAAUAAUUACGGAAUAACUUUGGCAACAUUCGCUUUUAAUAAGACUAGAAAGGGGGGCAAGAGAAGCUACAAUAGUGUUAGCAGAAGUUGAAGAGUUUGGGUUAAAUAGUGUAAAAACCUUGACGAAGCAGAAAAAGUUAUUUGCCUUGGCAUUUAAUCACCAGUUAAACGACUUAAAGGGCGACACUUUACUCAGUUUACUCAUCGCAAAAACACAGAUCGUCACAUUGAGGAUUUCCAACACUUCUAAAUCUUCCCGAAUUGGCAAAAAAUCCAAAGAACGAACAGCAUCUUCAGUUCAAACAAGUCACAAUUCGUAACGUGCUCAAGCACAAACUAACCGAAAAAUUUUGUUGCAGCCGACAAAAGUCCCAAUGGAUUUCUCCAGCGGAGUAGGAAGGCUAGUUGCCCUCAAUGAGUCCCAGGAAGAGGACACAAGUCCGAGAGUUUUGAGGUUUGAGCAGUACGAGCAAAUCCCGCGAGAGGCGUUUGCCAACGGAGUGCACUCUACUCAACAAUACUAUCAUGGAAGCCUGAGUCGACAAGCUGCGCAAGCAAAACUCCUAGCAGCUGGGACCAAUGGGUAAGUCCAAAACUCCAUUUAAGUCCAAAAAUAUUUGGUAAUGCCGGUAUAAAGUGAGAGUGAGAUAUUGUUAUGAGUCACCCGGGAGAUUAUUUGCCGGAAAACCUGUCAGGGCGACAGCGUUUUUGUGGUUAGCGUCUAAAGUGGGUUGUUCAAAUCUUGAAUUGUUUAACAAUGCCAGAAGCAGAAACCGUUAGAUUUAGGUAUAGGGUGUUAUACAUGAAAGAUUAUUUAAAUUUUCCGCAGAUUUCAAAACUGGAAUAACAUACAGGGUGUUUCAAUAAAAAUAAGCGAGUUAGUGUCUGCUUCCGGUAAAACCGGAAGUGCCACCAUCUUGAAACUAUCCUAGCUCAAUAGCCCAUAGUCACUCCAAUACACUCCCCAACUCCAAACUUUCUCCUGCUGAUACUUUGCAAUCCGGGGAACAUUUAUCUAUGUGGCAUGUUCACCUAGCAGAUGUGCUAAAGCUGCGGCCGCUUUCAUGCUGAACAAAUCGCGGACAACUUUCUCCAGUAAAGUGCGUUGACAAAACCCGUAGAAAUUAUCUGGGGGAGUUAUUAGAUGCGAUUGCUCCAUCUUACAUGGAGACGGUUACACGUGGGUUGGCGCAUAUUUUUCGAGGGAGCCUGUUGGAUGGGCUCCAAGCCGCCCAUCAGGUGUUUGAUUUUUUAAAGAAUUUUGCCAACGUGAUCUUUAGCACAUUGUCCAGCGGCCUUGAUGAAGCAACGACCUGCAGACGCGCGCUCUCCCGGCCACAAAUAAAAUUCGGACGCUCAGCAUUGGCGUCACAUAUGAGGACGUCCAGCUCACUUACGUAAUGGCAUUAAAGUGUACCUGGCCGCUUAUUUAGUAGCUUGCAAGUCAUCAGAUGAACAGGUUUUAACACCCGAAA